rnacentral:lncRNA from 1 species
UCAAAAUUUCCCCGACCAUCAUCCUAGAUGACCUCUAUUACAACUACCUACCUAUUGUAUUUAUUGUUAACUUGUUCUCGUCCUGAAUAUGCAUGAACUAUUUGCCACUGGACGUUAAGCAACCAACAAUCAAUCAAUCAAUCUUGACGAUGAUUUUCGUUGUCUCUUGACAGCCAUUCUAAUUUAUCAAAACCACCAAUUUUUUUUCACCUACAGUACCCGGGAAUUUCUUUUUACAUUUGUUGCAACCUGAGGUUGCUGCAUGUCUACACAGCUUUCUACUAGCAGGAAUGUCACAUCCAAC